UACGUAGGGUGCGAGCGUUGUCCGGAAUUAUUGGGCGUAAAGGGCUCGUAGGCGGUUUGUCGCGUCGGGAGUGAAAACACGGGGCUUAACCCCGUGCCUGCUUCCGAUACGGGCAGACUAGAGGUAUGCAGGGGAGAACGGAAUUCCUGGUGUAGCGGUGAAAUGCGCAGAUAUCAGGAGGAACACCGGUGGCGAAGGCGGUUCUCUGGGCAUUACCUGACGCUGAGGAGCGAAGGUGUGGGGAGCGAACAGG
rnacentral:rRNA from 1 species